rnacentral:lncRNA from 1 species
CAAGACCCAUCAUGCACUCCCAUACAAGCAACGACUGUGCUGACUAAAUGUCAUCCUACUCAAUUUUGUUGCUUAACAUGAAACACUUACUAAUUUCAAACCAAUGUAUGAAGAAAUAACCUACCGACCAAACAGGACCAAAUCAGACUCAAGAUUUCAAGGCUAGUAUUUCCAAAUGAGACAAACAUCAGAAUCAUCUCUGCGUUUACUCAUACGUGCAAACACAAAUAUAGGCCUCCUCAAUCUAAUACUAACAUACAGCCUGUAAACUAGUCCCUAAUGAUAUCCAAAUUUCAAUAGCAAUGAGAAUUCAACUAUUACAAUCUGAAAUUUAGCUAUGCAUUUUCUAGCAAAAUCCUGGAAGUUCAUGACAAAUCUACAUCUACAACUUAUUCUAACAACAGCAAAAUCCCUGCACCUUUAGUAGUUACAAGAACCACUUAAGCUGAAUAAACUACUUCAUAAAAUACCUCUAGCAUAGAACUUGCAAGUUUUCCUUCACUAGUAUUCAUAUGCCAACUUACACAUGCUGACACCUUCAAAUUUUGGAUAAUUUAAACCAAGCUAUACUGAACUUUUAAGCUUCAAAUAUCACACACAACCAGUUAACUCAUGUCAGUAUUACAGGUGAAACUAGGUAAGCAUUUUUCUGGAAAAAAAAUAUUGCAGUAUAUCAAACAUUCCUCACACACAAAAGGUCUCAAAUGUUAUGAAUUACCUACACUCCAACAGAAACAUAUUCAAAUCCUAAAAUGAACAUACCGCAUUUAAGAAGAACAUAAAAUAAAAGAAAUUCAUAAUAGGAAUAUAACUAAGCUAGAACCAGCAGACUAAUAUUUAAACUUAAAAAAUUCUAUUUCUCUUUCAAUCUUCAAUUUGAGCAUCACAUUGUACAAGUUCCAAGAGACAUGUACCUGGAUAUUGAAAGAGCAAAGAAAAGAUGAAGAAGCAAUGAGGAAUCAGCAGAGUAGCAGCAAAAAAGAGCCUAGAUGCAGUCAAAACGGUGAAACCAGGUUAUGAAACCAAUGGAACAGUAUAAAACUAUCAAACCAAGAUUUUACAAGCCCAGAUUCAAUCUAUUUCCACUCCAGAUGACUCAGAACAUGUUAUAGAAAUUGAAGACAUCAAGAAUCACAAAAGAAAAUUCAAUCGAACAGUAAUUUUUAAGAAAUUUUUAGCCUCUUUUCAAUUUUUGCAGAAUUUUCUCUCUUCUAGUCUCCCUUCAACUUCAAGUAAUAAUGCCUUUAUCGGCAAGUUUCUAGGCAGCAAAACUUCAAUUUUUGCCCAUUAAACCUUUUAAUUUUUAUAUUUGCUACUUAAUCCUUGAAUUUCUGAUUUAUGUGUCAAGUAAGUUUGUUUUUCAGCUUCCAGGAAGCUUCCUAAAUUAGUUAUUGAAAGAUUCCCAAAGUAAAUUUCCUAGACUACCUUUAAAAUCAAUAUUAUUUACCCUCAAGACUAAAUGGGUAUGGGUUAUGAGUCUGUAAACCCUAACUAAAUCCCCACUUGGGCUCUUUGGUUUUCAGAAUCCAAUUAAAAUAAACCGGGGAUUCUCAAUUUUAAUAACUGGCCCAAAAUUUCAAAAAGAAGAAACUAGGAACCUUUUGAAAUAUAGCCAAAACAAAACAAAAGUUAAUGAACUGAUUAAACUAGCUAUAUAAUAGGAAAUUAGCUAGGUUAUGGACCUAAUUGUAUUAACCAAAUGAUCAAACAAAAGCAAACCAGAAGAUUACGAACUAAAAAAGAUCAGAGGAAUAAAUUUGAACAAAAAACAAAGCUAAAAAUGAACCACAUGAACAUGAUUUAUUCAAAACGAGAGGAUCAGUCGAGUUUCAAUUGAAAUCGACCAGAGAAGAUAAAAAGAGAUGAGGAGGGACGAAAACCAGAAUAACACCAACGUCAAACAAAAUAAGAAAGAACUCACUGGCCAGGCUCGAACUUGGAAUUGGCACUCUAAGUCAACCCAAAAUAAUGUCAAAUGUUUGUUCUUGGUGGAAGACAAACGAGUCUCACUAUUUUGUGCUGAAAUAGGCUUGAAAAAGCCAAGAAAUCAAGAAAAAUGACCUUGCAUUCAUGGAUUCACUUUUGAGCUCCUAAAACUCAUACCUCAGAUUUAAUAUUUGAGCAGUUCGAGGGGUAUUCAAGGGUAAAGGUCUAUAGAUUUAGAAAGAGGGGAGUGAGGAGGUCUUGUGGUGUUAUUUUUGUGGUAGUUGGUGGUGGCGUCGCCACCCUAAGGCGGUGGGAUGUCAGGGCGGUUGGCUAGGGUUCCAUUUUUCUAUCUGAAUUUUGAGGAAUUCCAGGUAGAUUUGAGGUGAACGGAGUGGGGAUUUGGGACGAUGGGGUGAAGAGGAGUCAGUGGUACAAUUUUGGAGGUGAUUGGCCGCUGGCUGCCGCUGUGGGCGAUUUCUGGCAUGCGGGGGCAGUGGUUUACGGCAGCGAAUUGGGAAAGAUGGACGGUGGGUCUCUAAGAGAGAUGGGAAGGGGGUAAGCUGUUCUGACAAUCAUAUAGUAAGUAAACCCUAGUUCUCGUCUAUUAGAUGAGAGAAAAUCGAUGAUCGAGAUUGGAUAGUAGUGAAACAGGGUCGUUUGGAUGGUAAGGGGGUUUGGACUAGGUUCUUUUGAAUGGUUUCGGCUGGUUUUGAAUGGGUUUGGACUGGUUUUGGAUGGGUUUAGACAGGUAUUGGCCCCAAAACUGGUUGUUUUUCAAGAUUUAUUUUUCUUUUAAAAUUAAAAAAAAUGAUAAUAAAAAUAAAAAACAAAUUAACACUUAAACACUAAAUUAAUCUAACAAAUACUAAUAAUUUUAAAUAGUAACUAUCACGAAUAAUUAAAAAUUAAAUUUGAAGUAAAAUACCAAAAAAAGUCGAACUUAAAUAAAAAAAAUGCGAAAAUAGUUAUUUUGUGAUUUUUCAUGUUUUAUAAGCAAAUAAUUUACCAAUUAACCAAAAAAUAUAAAUUAAAUCCUAAAUGCCAAUGCAGUGUAUUUUUUGUAAUUUUAUGAAUUAAAUAAAAUUAAACAUGCACACAGAAUGCAAACAAAUAGGAAAAAUUAUGCAAUAACUCCUAAAAAUAGCAAAUAAUUAAAGGAAAAAUCUUAUUUUUGGAAUUCUAUUGGAUUACUUCAUGUGAGGCAAAAUCAUGUGCUACACACUCUACAGCCGAUCAUUUGAUGGAGUGCUUCUAUGUUGUUUGGGGACUGAUGAAUCCCUUCAAGCAUUGCAAGAAGCACACUCUGUAGUAUGUGGUGCGCAUCAAUACGGGCCAAAACUUCAUUUUCACAUAAAAAGAAUGGGUAUUAUUGGCCAAUACUGGUGAAAUUUUAUUUGGAUUACACUCGAAGGUGUAAAGCUUGCCAAUUCCAUGUUAACUUUAUACAUCAACCAUCUGAAGUAUUACACCCAGUUGUUGCUUCUUGGCCAUUUGAUGCUUGGGGUUUGUUUGUUGUUGGUCCAUUGCCAAAGUCUUCUGGUGGACAUCUAUACCUUUUGGCCACAAUUGAUUACUUUUCGAAGUGGGCAGAGUUGUUUCUCUUAAGGAAGUAAAUACGGAAAAUGUAGCUAAUUUCAUACAAGUCAAUAUUAUCUAUCAAUUUGGCAUUCCGCGAUAUAUAUUGACGGACAAUGGUAAGCUAUUUGAUAACAAGUUGAUGAAUAAAAUAUGUGAUCUUCUUGGCUUCAAGCAACGCAAUUCCUCCAUGUAUUAUGCUGCUGCCAAUGGACUUGCAGAAGCAUUUAACAAGACACUCUACAACUUAUUUAAAAAGGUUGUUACUAAGUCUAAGAGAAAUUGGUAUGAAAGGAUGAAAGAAGCUCUCACAGGACCACAUAGCGCACACCAACGCAAGCAACUCCUUAUUCACUUAUUUAUGGAGUUGAAGUUGUCCUUCCACUUAAGCGUCAAAUUCCAUCAUUGUGGCUUGCUAUUCAAGGACUCACCGAUGAAGAAAAUGCUCGGUUAUACCUUGAAGAAUUGAAAUCUCUUGAUAAAAAGAGGCUAGAAGCUCAAUAAAGCCUUGAAUAUUAUCAAGAUCGCAUGUCUCGAUCUUUUAACAAAAGGGUACGCCUUAGAUCUUUCCAAGUGGAUGACCAAGUUCUUGUGGUCAAAAGGCUUAUUAUUACCUUUCAUCAAUAUGGGGGCAAUUCUCUACUAAGUGGGAUAGACCAUAUAUCAUACAAAAGGUAACUCAAGUGGCGCUUACAAGAUAGUUGACUUGAGAGGUUUUCGGAUUGGCCCCAUCAACAGGAAAUUCAUGAAGAGAUACUAUCCUUGAAGAAAAAAAAUACUCUCCUUAACGCAUAAGCAUAAACUGCAUGUUACUCCUGGUCCGUAAGAGUAUAAACCAUGCACGGUUCAAAAACAAGUCUGCUAGGUUAAAAACCUCGAAAGAGGCGGCUUAGGCAAAAGUUAGGACAUCCAAAAAAAUAAAGUUCGCUAGGUUUAAAACCUUGAAAGAGGCGGCCAAGGCAAAAGUUAGGACGCAAAAAAAAUCACCCAUUUCGAACUACGGAAUGACUUGAUUUAGGUACGUAGGCAGCUUAGAGUUUCAUUCUAAGUUCAGUCAUAUGAGUUCAAAAAAAUACAUACUGCGCAAGGCAUUUUUCAAAUGAGGUAUGAUGGAAUAUAAUUCACUUGAUCGGCAGUAGAAAAUUAUGUGUACAUGUAUUCUUCCAUUGAACCCUCUAUCUAGUCUUGAUGGCUCAAUGGAGGCAAGUCUUCUAUGUCAAAUUGAGGUCUUUGACGGAAUGAUUGUAGUUUCUUUAAUAAAAGGUGAAAUAUUCAAGUUGAAGGCUCCAAUUUUAAGUCAAGUUGAUUUUGUCAAGUCUAUUACAUCAUCCAUUUGAGGUACUCAAACCCGCUAGGUCUUAGAGUUGCAAUACGUCAAGUCAUAAAAAUAAAAAUAAUUAAAAAAUAAAAAAGCUCACUCAUUAUAAACUGUGGAAUGACUUAAUCCUCUUCACCGAGAUUGGUAUCUUUAAUAUAAUUAUAGUCUUUAACAGGCAGCAAAGUUUUCAAGACUGUCUUGUCUUUUAGCUGAAUUCUUCAAGUUUGCCAAGUCGCAAGUUGAAUUCUUAAAAUUUUCUAUAUCAUGGAUUUGAAGUCUCUGCAUUCUAAAUCUUCAAAUUGAAGUUGAGUUAAAUUCUUCGAGUCCACUCGGUCUUCAACUAUCCAAUCUGCCACGUCUUUAAGUUGAAUUCUUCAAAGUGGCUAUAUCUUCAAAUUUAACUUAUACUUUAACCUUCAAGUUGAAUCAUCAAGUUAAAAUCUUCAAAUCCACUAAGUAUUUAGGCCGAGGACGUCAAAUCUAUCAAGUCUUCAAGUAAAAGCCUACAAGUCUUCCAUGUUUUAAAGUUGAAAUGUAAAAAAAUAAUUCUUCGAUUGUGAGGCUAUCUUUACUAAAGUAGUAUUGUUGGGAUUGAUUUCUUCUUUUAUCAGCAAAAAAAAUAAAAGGAGAAACAUAUCUAUAUAAAGGAGAUCAUAAAAUUACCUGCGAAGAUUAAAGUUGAAGAGAUAUUCUUGGUGGUCAGCUUCUUGAAAAAGAUAAAACAUGUUUCAUAUAAUCUUUGAUUCAUAUAACUCUAAAUGAGGACGAGUUUUCAUUCCUUUGCGCCAAAAGGUCAAAUCUUGCGGCGAUGAAGUAAAAUCUUCAAGUUAGACUGUAUAAUGGACUUUGUUGGUCUUCGGGCAAAAUAUAGUCUUCAGCUUAGACAAUGAAUGGUCUAUGCCUCAAAUAAAAUAAAGUUAAAUCUUUAAACAAUAUGAAGUCAUUAGCUUAGACAGUGUAUGGUAUUCGCUUCAUACAAAAUAGAUCUUUGGUCCAAACGGUAUAAGGGUCUAUGCCUCAGAUAAAAUAAAGGUAAAUUUUCAAACAUGAUGAAGUCAUUGGCUUAGACGGUGUAAUGGUCUUUGCUACAGACAAAAUAAAUCUUUUACCCAGAUGGUGUAAUAGUCUAUGCCUCCGAUACAAUGGAGUUGAAUCUUCAAACAAGAUGAAGUCUUUUGCUUAAACGGUAUAAUGGUUUUCGCUUCAGAUAAAAUAAAUCUUUGAACCAGACGGUGUAAAGGUCUAUGCCUUAGAUAAAAUGAAGUUAAAUCGUCAAACAAAAUGAAGUCAUUAGCUUAGACGAUGUAAUGGUCUUCACUUCAAACAAAAUAAAUUGGCUCGUACGGUGCAAUGGUCCAUGCCUCAGAUAAAAUGAAGUUAAAUCUUUAAAUAAAAUGAAGUCUUUAGCUCAGACAGUAUAAUGAUAUUUGUGUCAAACAAAAUAAGUCUUUAGCUCAAACGAUGUUAUGAUAUUCGUUUCAGAUAGAAUAAAAAAACUUUGGCUCAGACAAAGUAAGGGUCUUCGUCUCAAAUAAAAUAAAGCCAGAUAUUCAAACAAAAGGUUUGUAAGGUUCUCGAACAUAAUGUACAUAAAGUAAAGAAAGGUAAAGAAAUAAAGUACUAUAUGUCAUAAAAAGGAGGAAAACAAAGAAAACACAAAGCAAAAAUAAAGGGAAAAUACCUCGACACUAUGCUCCUCGUGAGUCGAAAAC